UCCUGAGCACAAGGCCGCCACUGCCGCGGUCCUCCAGCGGAACGUGCCCAGUUCCUUCCGCCUGCUCUCGGGAGGCCGAGUUCAGAUUUCCUCUGUGACCGGUAGGGUCCUCCCGCCUCCCCAGCCCCUCACUGCACUGCGCCAGACUCCAGGCCGGCUGGGCGCCUCCACCGGUCACUCUGGCUCCGCCCAUGGGCAGCGGGCCCCGCCCUCCUCCUCCAGGCCUCAACCUGGGCAUCCAGUCCCUUGGCGCCCGCAUGUGUGGCGUGAAGACUUUCCGAUGGCGACGGAGCCCCAGUCCCCCUGGUCAGGGUGCUCAGCACUGUGACCAGAAGACCUGACCAGAGCGGCUUUAGAGGAGGGUAUGUUUCCUGGACUCUCUGGGUUUCAGAGGGCUCAGUCCACGGACGGCCAGCUCCAGUGCUCUGGGCCCAAGGGAGGCAGGACGUCAGGGCAGAAUAGUGUGGCGGGGAUCAGCUCAGGCUAUGGCCACCAGGAAGCAGAGAGAGCUCCCCUCAGCAGGGACAAAAUGACCCCUGGUCCCCCCUCCUCCAGCCACACGGCCUGCCCAGUCACCGCCCAGCCAUCCCUAUGGGGUCAAGGCACCGACCAGGUUACGGCUCUCAUAACCCAGUCACUUCGCCUCUGGACUCUCUUGCACUAUCACACACGAGCUUUGGGGGACACCCGACAUCUGAACCACAGCACCACCUACAAGAAAUCUCCACAAAGUGACCGUCUGGACUGUCUGAUCAUCACCCCUCACCUGGCACAUUGUACGAAAGCGCGGACAGUGGUACACGGUGUUCCCGCCGCACAUCCAAGGACCCUCGCAGACACAGCAGGCGCUCCCUGAACUCGGGCUGAACUGGAGGCCACUGUACCGGAAGUCAAGGAGGCUGGGAGUUGCCCGAUGCCUCAGGAACCAACGUGUCAAUAAAGUCACGCCCGCCGCCGUCCCAGUGCAGCGGGAGCAGAGGGCGAGGAGGGCAGCCCUCGGCGGAGGGUCCUGGGCCAGGGCCCAGGGGCGGGCAAACCACGGCACGUCUGAGGCCAGGGCAGACCUGGCUGGAGCCGAGGGCUUGCCUCGGGGAGGAGGGAUGACCUGAGGCUGGCAGAGACGCCGCUGGCACUGGGACGGGCAGUCAGGGAAGAGCGCAGGGCAAGGGGCAGCCCUGAGGCGGGAGGCCUGCGAGACAGGGAGGCUGAGCCCCACCCGGACGGCUGGACCCAGUUCUACCUGCUGGUCCUCCUGCAGGGUGCUGAGUCAUCCCCUGGCCCGAGGAGGGAACACGCCAUCCUGCCACACAGCCGGCCAGGCAGCAGGGAGGGCCCGGCACGCCACCUCCCAGCUGGGGCACAGCACAGGUGCCCAGCCUGGUUUGACUCGCAGGAGCCCUGAGGGGGUGGGGCAGUGUCCCGGCCCCUCUGUCCUUCCUCCUGGCUUAGAAUCAGGAGGCCUCGCUCCUGUCGGGGCUCCGAGCCUCCGUCCUCCCCUGUGUGAGAGGAAGGUGCCGCCGGUGCGCAGGAUGCCAGGAGCAGGAAGCCACCUGCACAGCCCGGGCACCGCGAGCGCUGGCCCCGGCCUCUCUCCUCCCCGAGCCCGCGCCUGCACGCCUCGGAGAUGAGGCUGUGGCUGAGGACGGAGGGAGGGCUGGGGUCCCCGCGGAGCCCACGCCAAGGCUGGCGAGCGCGGGGGGCACCCCACCACCUCUGCACAGGCCAUCUGCUCCCCGGAGGACGGCGGUGGGAGGGGUCCUCUUGGGGUGUCCAGGCCCCGCCUCAGGAGACCUUUGCUGCUGGCUGCUGCCAAGCCCUGGACACCAAGGAGCAGUGCUCACGUGGCCAGGUGGCCCUGCAGGCCCGGGGGGCGUGGGCGCCAGAUGACCAGAGGUCCCUCUCAGGAGGGCAAAGCGCUCUGGAGGCCGCCGUGGAGGUGCACUGGGGUCCUGGCACCGUCCAGCCAGCGGAUGGGCUGGAGCCCUGCCCAGUGAGGAGCCUCACGUGGUCUUCUCCGUAAGGCCUGUUUCCUGAGCUCAGCUGGGCCCAGCUCCCAGCUGGGGCGCAGAAGCAGAGGUGAAUCUGUGGGUCCCUGGUCCCCGAGGAAGACAGGCCAGUGACAGCCGGCCAGCAUCCCACCACCCGCAAGGACAGGCUGGACGACGCGGGCGAGGUGAGGCCCCGUCUCGGCAGUGGCAGGAGGCCAGCUUCUGCCCCGGCAGCCCCUUGCCAUCCUCCGGAGCCCCAGACCCCCUUGAGGGAGGUGCCUGUUCCCCCUCGGCAGGCAAGGAGGACCCAGGACCCAGGCCAAGGCGCUCGAGCAGCCCAGGCCCUCCUGGCCAGCUGACGUGGGGUGGCCCCCAGGCACGCGAGGGCCGGUACGCGUCUGCGUGCUAGACAGACAGACGUCCUCCAGUGGAGGCUGGGUGACACGGAAGAGCAUGGCAGGACGAAGUCGGACGUGGAGCCCAGGCUGAGAGCGGCAACACCGCCUGCUGGACGCUGGACGCUGGGCACUGGACGCUCUCUGCGGCCUGGGAGGGCAGGCCCAGGGCAGGGGCGGGAGGUGGUGGAGGGCCUGGCAGCUCGGGAUCCGGCCAUGGGCCGUGCUCCCGCCAGGCAGGCCAGCUGGUGGUGAGGUGAGAGGCCUGGCGUGGGUCACAGGCACGUGGCGGGAAUGUCCUUCCCGUUCCGUGCCAGGUGCCCCUCAGAACAGACCGAGGAGGCGCCAUCCGGUGGAUGACGGCUGCUGCCACCUGGAGCCAGCUAACAGCCCUGCUCCAGAGCCUGGAUGGGCGUCCUGGACGGGCGUCCCAUUCCACUCUCCCAGCACAGUCAGUUAUUUUUAUACCUGCUCCCAGGGAGCCCGGGUUUCGGUCAGGAUCAGCUCUGGCAAGUGUCUGAAAUCUGCGAAGGGCAGCGUCUUUCGGAAGAGAACUGCCCUUCCCUGGCAGAGUGGUCCCGAUGGGCCCCGCGAGGGCUGGCGGGAGGCUUGGUCCUCAGGGAGUCUGGCUCCGCCUCCUCGUUACCCACAUAACUGCCUGUGCCCCAGCUUUCAUGCUUGCAUCCCAGGGAAAGGAAAAAAGAACAGGGUAUGGAAGGGCGCCCCUGCCUUUGAGGACACUUCUAGGAAGCCCCACACUCCGCCGGCUCAACUCCACGGGUAGAAUUUGGUCAGGUGGCUCGGUUUCGGGGCCUGUCUGCUCCACAUAGCCCCGGGGACCUGCAGGAGAGCAGGAAGCCGUGGACAGGGCCGGGACACGGGCUCUCUGGCCAGACUGCCUUCCUUCUGAGAUGGAGACACUGAGCUGCUUUUCUAACCUAAACCUACCGAGGGCCAGCGUGGGGCCCAGCAG